rfam:Danio rerio chromosome 16, GRCz11 reference primary assembly.
GCUGGCAGCUAGCUCUCUGCAACUCUCACAUGGUCGCCCACUAAAGCUAAGCAAGGCUGCGCCCAAUCAGUACCUGGAUGGGAGACAACAUGGGAAAGCUAGGUUGCUGCCGGAU